CGGUUGAUCCUGCCGGAAGUUACUGCUAUCGGUGUUCGACUAAGCCAUGCGAGUCAAAUGUUCUUCGUGAACAUGGCGGACUGCUCAGUAACACGUGGAUAACCUGCCCUUAGGUUCGGCAUAACUCCGGGAAACUGGAGAUAAUUCCGAAUAGGUCAAAUAUGCUGGAAUGCUUUUUGGCCAAAAGACCUCGGUUGCCUAAGGAUGGAUCUGCGGUCUAUCAGGUUGUAGUGGGUGUAACGUACCUACUAGCCUACGACGGAUAUGGGUUGUGAGAGCAAGAGCCCAGAGAUGGAUUCUGAGACAUGAAUCCAGGCCCUACGGGGCGCAGCAGGCGCGAAAACUUUACAAUGCGGGAAACCGCGAUAAGGGGACACCGAGUGCCAGCAUUUAUGUUGGCUGUCCACAUGUGUAAACGGCAUGUGUUAGCAAGGGCCGGGCAAGACCGGUGCCAGCCGCCGCGGUAACACCGGCGGCCCGAGUGGUAAUCACUUUUAUUGGGUCUAAAGGGUCCGUAGCCGGUUUGAUCAGUUCUUCGGGAAAUCUGACAGCUCAACUGUUAGGCUUCCGGGGAAUACUGUCAGACUUGGGACCGGGAGAGGUAAGAGGUACUACAGGGGUAGGAGUGAAAUCUUGUAAUCCCUGUGGG
rnacentral:rRNA from 1 species